UACGAAGGGGGCUAGCGUUGCUCGGAAUUACUGGGCGUAAAGCGCACGUAGGCGGCUUCUUAAGUCGGUGGUGAAAUCCUGGAGCUCAACUCCAGAACUGCCUUCGAUACUGGGAAGCUCGAGUCCGGGAGAGGUGAGUGGAACUGCGAGUGUAGAGGUGAAAUUCGUAGAUAUUCGCAAGAACACCAGUGGCGAAGGCGGCCUACUGGUCCGAUACUGACGCUGAGGCACGAAAGCGUGGGGAGCAAACAGG
rnacentral:rRNA from 1 species